AGAGUUUGAUCCUGGCUCAGGAUGAACGCUGGCGGUAUGCUUAACACAUGCAAGUCGAACGAAAGUAUUUAUACUUUAGUGGCGAACGGGUGCGUAAUACGUGAGAAUCUGCCCUUAGGAGGAGGAUAACUGCUGGAAACGGCUGCUAACACUCCAUAUGUCGAGAGAUGAAAUAAUUUAUUGCCUAAGGAUGAGCUCACGCCUGAUUAGCUAGUUGGUGAGGUAAUGGCUCACCAAGGCCACGAUCAGUAGCUGGUUUGAGAGAACGAUCAGCCACACUGGGACUGAGACACGGCCCAGACUCCUCCGGGAGGCAGCAGUGAGGAAUUUUCCGCAAUGGGCGAAAGCCUGACGGAGCAAUACCGCGUGAGGGAUGAAGGAUUUUGGUCUGUAAACCUCUUUUCUCAAGAAAGAAGUUCUGACGGUACUUGAGGAAUAAGCAUCGGCUAACUCCGUGCCAGCAGCCGCGGUAAUACGGGGGAUGCAAGCGUUAUCCGGAAUCAUUGGGCGUAAAGCGCCUGUAGGUUGUUUAAUAAGUCUGUUGUUAAAGCCUAGGGCUUAACCCUAGAAAAGCAAUGGAAACUAUUAGACUAGAGUAUGGUAGGGGUAGAGGGAAUUUCUAGUGUAGCGGUGAAAUGCGUAGAUAUUAGAAAGAACACCGGUGGCGAAAGCGCUCUACUGGACCAUUACUGACACUCAGAGGCGAAAGCUAGGGUAGCAAAAGG
rnacentral:rRNA from 1 species